GACGUAGGGGGCGAGCGUUGUCCGGAUUUAUUGGGCGUAAAGCGCGCGUAGGCGGUCGGGUAAGUCGGGUGUGAAAAUCCGGGGCUCAACCCCGGACCUGCAUUCGAUACUGCCGGGCUGGAGGCAGGUAGGGGAGAGUGGAAUUCCUGGUGUAGCGGUGAAAUGCGCAGAUAUCAGGAGGAACACCGGUGGCGAAGGCGGCUCUCUGGACCUGUCCUGACGCUCAGGCGCGAAAGCUAGGGGAGCAAACAGG
rnacentral:rRNA from 1 species